GUAGAAGAAGAAGAAAAAUAAAUAGAAGAAAAAGACGAAGAAGACGUCUUCUGGAAGUGAGGUCAUGGAGCGGUAAGCCGAGGACCAUUGUUAAAGCAACAAUGCCCACGUGCAUGGCUGUUGGAUGUUGCAACACAACUGGUAAAAGUGGAAAAAACAUUAGUUUUUUCACCUUUCCGAGUCGUGAUCCACCACGGGUUCGUCGUUGGAUUGCCAACUUGAAGAGAAAGGAUUUGCCAUCGAACUUCUGGCCAGAGAGAAAACACAUGGUCUGCAGCCAACAUUUCGAAGAAGAAUGUUUUCAAGAUGACAUGAUGGCGAGGAUUUUCGCUGAAGUCCAUGGAGAGCAAAGCCGACUGGCAAAUCCACGAAGGAGACUCACACCCACUGCCGUCCCCACAGUGUUCUGUUUUACAAAAGAAAAAAGAAAAAGAACUUUGUCAAUCAAUCGUCGCCUCUUACGCCAACGACGUCUCAUAAUUUCUGAAGCUCUUGGAAGUACAGGUGCUAAUGGCGACAGGACAAGUGCUACUGUUCAAGAAAGGAGCAGCCCAGUGUCUACCAACAGAACACCAAAAAGGAAAAGACCGAGUUUCUGUGAUUCAGCCACAGAGGGUAUUAUAAAAAAGACCUGUGACACAGGUGUACAGUGUGACCUUCUGUCCCCUUAUGAUCUAAGGCCAGUCUGGACAGGAACAGUCAGUCAACGUGCAAUCAAACUUGACCACUGUUACGGCUGAGAAACACCAGAGAUGAUGCCUCUCACGUCCACCCCCCAUUAAAUCAAGAAAGCCACAGAUGUGUGAUGCUCAAGCCCUUGACACUAGUGGACUUAUGUCAUCAGAGUCGUACGAAGAAGGGGAUAUAUCGAUGGACGACCCUCAGGUGGAGGACAUCAGUGAUAUGAGCCCGUUUGCUGUUGACCCGGAUAACUGAGAAUUUGCACAGGCAUGUUUACCUGGGUUAUAAACACAAUUUGAUACCGAGGCACCCUUUUCUUAGCCUUCUUUAAAAAAAUGAGAAGGACAGGGCAGAUGUGUAUUAACCACACAUAUCAGGAAAGGGUUACAACAAAUACAGAUAUCCAUAUAUCUAUAUAUAAUAUAGAUACUGUAUAUCAACAGAUUUGAGAACUGGAUGUCACUUACAUCACAGGACACGGAGGAGGACCAUUGUCUCUCACAAGCUACACGCAGGAAGUAGGAUGCUGGUGCUGGACACACACUAACACAAAAGAGUGUGCGAAGCAGUAAUCAAAGCAAAAGGUGGCUACUUUGAAGAACCUAGAAAUCAGUUGUUUCACACUAUUUUGUUAAGUAUAAAAUUCCAUGUGUGUUAAUUCAUAGUUUUGAUGCCUUCAGUGUGAAUGUACAAUUUGCAUAGUCAUGAAAAUAAAGAAAACUCUU